ensembl:lncRNA
CAUGAUAUGAGCAGCAAGCUACGGGGAUAAGGCAUGUUGACCUCAGCCUUCAGCCUUGGGUCAUCUUGGCUACGGGGUUAAUUCAUGCUGACCUCAGACUGUUGUCCAAAAUCACUUUGUUGAAAAUGUGGAGAAAGACAGAGUUCCAGAGUUGGAGGAGGAGCCACCAAGGGGGGUGGAGCCGGGUGACCAAGUGUACCUCAGGGUGUUCAGGAGAAAGUGGAACGAGCCCAGGAGAGAAGAACCAUACAAAGUCACCAACGCAACACCAACAGCCAUCCAAGUGGAAGGAAGUGCCACGUGGUAUCAUCUCAACCACUGCACAAAAGCCGCUCAACCCAAAAUCAGAGAUGAGCGUGAGGAGGAGCUAUAACAGAAAGUUGAGAUCCCUGAAGACCGGAAUGUGAGAAUCGGACAUCAGAAGGAGGUCCUAUUUUCUUAACUGGUCACCCCCUCCAUGUGAACCACAACCAUUGCAGAUAGUGUGAACAAAUGGACAUUGUACUAAUGGGUUCCAGGGCGUGGUGGCUGCGAACAGGAGCAACAACCACAAUGCCCAAACCCCCCACAUUUAUAUAGUAUACCGCUACAUGACGAUAAUCAGAGCUAUUCAAAUCUAUGCCUGCUUGUUGACAAUCUUAGUAUUUAAUUUCUAUUAUUUACUUCUUUUUUUUUUAAAUGUCAUUUUUUGAGUUUCAUAUUUUUAUGUCAUAUAUUCUGAAAUGCAAAUUUUCAAUACAUGCUGAAAAUAAUUAUAAUAAUAAUA